CCGGUCGUCGAGGGUUUGAUGUGUUCAACCUGCGAGGGUGGCCUGGACAGGCGGAGGUUUGGAUGGAGGUGUGUUCGAGAGGGGUUGGCGUGUGGGACUGCAGCACGGGCGCUCCGCGCCUCUAGGAUCGAGUGCCUGGGGAGAGGGACGGAGCGGUGGAUGGGGGAGAGCAGGUGUAUUGUUGCUGGGGAUGGCAGGACCAAAGGGAUGGUGUUGCUGGAGGAGCAGGAUUGUGAUGCGUGCCUCCGUGACUAUAUACGUGAGUCUGGCCCCAGGGUCUUGGAUGGGGGCCCGACGCCCUGCCUUGGAGCUGCUGUGC
rnacentral:lncRNA from 1 species